GACGAGCUCCCCAAACGUUAUUCGGUAUUACUGGGCUUAAAGAGUUCGUAGGCGGUUCUGUUAGUGAGGUGUGAAAGCCCUCGGCUUAACCGAGGAAUUGCGCUUCAAACUGCAGGGCUUGAGGGAGGUAGGGGUAUGCGGAACAGAUGGUGGAGCGGUGAAAUGCGUUGAUAUCAUCUGGAACACCGGUGGCGAAAGCGGCAUACUGGACCUUUUCUGACGCUGAGGAACGAAAGCUAGGGUAGCGAACGGG
rnacentral:rRNA from 1 species